rnacentral:lncRNA from 1 species
AGAGAGUAGAACAGGAUGAGACAGGGAGGAACAGAGAGAGAGAGUAGAACAGGAUGAGACAGUGAGGAACAGAGAGAGUAGAACAGGAUGAGACAGGGAGGAACAGAGAGAGAGUAGACCAGGAUGAGAAAGGGAGGAACAGAGAGAGUAGAACAGGAUGAGACAGGGAGGAACAGAGAGAGUAGAACAGGAUGAGACAGGGAGGAACAGAGAGAGAGUAGAACAGGAUGAGACAGGGAGGAACAGAGAGAGUAGGACAGGAUGAGACAGGGAGGAACAGAGAGAGAGUAGAACAGGAUGAGACAGGGAGAAACAGAGAGAGAGUAGAACAGGACGAGACAGGGAGGAACAGAGAGAGAGUAGACCAGGAUGAGACAGGGAGGAACAGAGAGAGAGUAGACCAGGAUGAGAAAGGGAGGAACAGAGAGAGUAGAACAGGAUGAGACAGGGAGGAACAGAGAGAGAGUAGACCAGGAUGAGACAGGGAGGAACAGAGAGAGAGUAGACCAGGAUGAGAAAGGGAGGAACAGAGAGAGUAGAACAGGAUGAGACAGGGAGGAACAGAGAGAGAGUAGAACAGGAUGAGACAGGGAGGAACAGAGAGAGUAGGACAGGAUGAGACAGGGAGGAACAGAGAGAGUAGAACAGGAUGAGACAGGGAGGAACAGAGAGAGUAGGACAGGAUGAGACAGGGAGGAACAGAGAGAGUAGAACAGGAUGAGACAGGGAGGAACAGAGAGAGUAGAAUAGGAUGAGACAGGGAGGAACAUAGAGAGAGUAGAACAGGAUGAGAUAGGGAGGAACAGAGAGAGAGAGAGAGAGUAGAACAGGAUGAGACAGGGAGGAACAGAGAGAGUAGAACAGGAUGAGACAGGGAGGAACAGAGAGAGUAGAACAGGAUGAGACAGGGAGGAACUGAGAGAGAGAGUAGAACAGGAUGAGACAGGGAGGAACAGAGAGAGUAGAACAGGAUGAGACAGGGAGGAACGGAGAGAGUAGAACAGGAUGCGACAGGGAGGAACAGAGAGAGAGUAGAACAGGAUGAGACAGGGAGGAACGGAGAGAGUAGAACAGGAUAGGACAGGGAGGAACAGAGAGAGAGUAGAACAGGAUGAGACAGGGAGGAACGGAGAGAGUAGAACAGGAUAGGACAGGGAGGAACAGAGAGAGAGUAGAACAGGAUGAGACAGGGAGGAACAGAGAGAGAGUAGAACAGGAUGAGACAGGGAGGAACAGAGAGAGAGUAGAACAGGAUGAGACAGGGAGGAACAGAGAGAGUAGAACAGGAUGAGACAGGGAGGAACAGAGAGAGAGUAGAACAGGAUGAGACAGGGAGGAACAGAGAGAGUAGAACAGGAUGAGACAGGGAGGAACAGAGAGAGAGAGUAGAACAGGAUGAGACAGGGAGGAACAGAGAGAGUAGAACAGGAUGAGACAGGGAGG